GGUGGAGAAGGGAAUGGAAUUUCAGUGCCAGAGAAUUAGAACAUGCCACGUCACUUCCACCCAGAUGCAGAUCCCCCCCACUUCUGCAAAGAAGAAUGGCUACACCACACCUUGAUACAUGCUACAGAGGCAUCCCCAUCCAUUCCAGAGUCCAUAAUGGGGUGCAUGAGGCAGGGACAGGAUACACAGACACAAAAUAGAAAUUAAGUGGAAAAGAAAAUAGACUUGAAGAGCCAUUCUGCAGAUGUUUUGCUGUGAGAUGAGAGCAACCAAUGAGCAAAUGGUUGCAUGCCAUUUCAGUUGCAUUUUGAACAGCAUCUUUCAUUUGACUUUAGCAUUGUAAUAUUCAAGACUGCAACAGCACCCUCUGCUUCAGCUUUGGGGUCAGCAGCAACUCCAAGAUCUUGCAAGAAACAUGGACACUGCACAACAACAAAGCAUUCCUGUAGAGAGUACAAAUUCCUGUCCUGCUGCCAGGACUCUGAUCACAGCAAUCUCUCCC